CAGUCGCCACGGGAACACGUAGGGUGCGAGCGUUACCCGGAUUUACUGGGCGUAAAGGGCGUGUAGGCGGCCUGGGGCGUCCCAUGUGAAAGGCCACGGCUCAACCGUGGAGGAGCGUGGGAUACGCUCAGGCUAGAGGGUGGGAGAGGGUGGUGGAAUUCCCGGAGUAGCGGUGAAAUGCGCAGAUACCGGGAGGAACGCCGAUGGCGAAGGCAGCCACCUGGUCCACUUCUGACGCUGAGGCGCGAAAGCGUGGGAAGCAAACCGGAUUAGAUACCCGCGUAGUCCCUGUCUCUUAUAC
rnacentral:rRNA from 1 species